AGCUAGAUCUUAGAAGGAGCCGUCUGUUGAAGUCAGAGGCCAGACCAGCACUUGGAGGAAGCCUGGAGUGGACCGGAAGGAUCUUCAUUGGCUGCCCAAGGCUUAUGAUUCCUUCAGCGGACAAGUUGCUCUUGCACAUAUCCUGAAGUGGCUCCCCAGUCCCAUCCUCCUUAGGGUAGAGACUAUUUACCAAAUGUGAAUUCCUUUAAGAAAGUGUGAAGUUAUGUAGAAAUUGACUGUGAAAUGUCAGAGAAAAAAAAAAAUAAAAGUCACUUACUUGAAAACUA